rnacentral:rRNA from 1 species
UACGUAGGGUGCAAGCGUUGUCCGGAAUUAUUGGGCGUAAAGAGCUCGUAGGCGGUCUGUCGCGUCUGCUGUGAAAACUCGGGGCUUAACCCCGAGCCUGCAGUGGAUACGGGCAGACUAGAGGUAGGUAGGGGAGAAUGGAAUUCCGGUGUAGCGGUGAAAUGCGCAGAUAUCGGGAGGAACACCUGUGGCGAAAGCGGCUCACUGG